CAAUAGCGUAUAUUAAAGUUGUUGCGGUUAAAAAGCUCGUAGUUGGAUUUCUGCUGAGAACGACCGGUCCGCCCUCUGGGUGUGUAUCUGGCUCUUUCUUGGCAUCUUCUUGGUGAACGUUGCUGCACUUGACUGUGUGGAGCGCUACCCAGGACUUUUACUUUGAGGAAAUUAGAGUGUUUCAAGCAGGCAUACGCCUUGAAUACAUUAGCAUGGAAUAAUAAGAUAGGACCUCGGUUCUAUUUUGUUGGUUUCUAGAGCUGAGGUAAUGAUUAAUAGGGAUAGUUGGGGGCAUUCGUAUUUAACUGUCAGAGGUGAAAUUCUUGGAUUUGUUAAGGACGGACUACUGCGAAAGCAUUUGCCAAGGAUGUUUNCAUUGA
rnacentral:rRNA from 1 species